AUUGAACGCUGGCGGCAGGCCUAACACAUGCAAGUCGAGCGAGCGGCGGAUGGGUGAGUAAUGUCUGGGAAACUGCCUGAUGGAGGGGGAUAACUACUGGAAACGGUAGCUAAUACCGCAUACCAUCAGAUGUGCCCAUAUGGGAUUAGCUGGUAGGUGGGGUAACGGCUCACCUAGGCGACGAUCCCUAGCUUGUCUGAGAGGAUGACCAGCCACACUGGAACUGAGACACGGUCCAGACUCCGACGGGAGGCAGCAGUGGGGAAUAUUGCACAAUGGGCGCAAGCCGGAUGCAGCCAUGCCGCGUGUGUGAAGAAGGCCUUCGGGUUGUAAAGCACUUUCAGCGGGGAGGCGUUACCCGCAGAAGAAGCACCGGCUAACUCCGUGCCAGCAGCCGCGGUAAUUC
rnacentral:rRNA from 1 species